CAACUACUCCCUCUGUCCCAAAUUUCUAGUCUUAGAUUUGUCUAGAUACGGAUGUAUCUAAUACUAAAAUGUGACUUGAUACAUCCGUAUCUAGACAAAUCUAAGACAAGAAUUUUGGGACGGAGGGAGUACCUU
rfam:Triticum aestivum genome assembly, contig: Triticum_aestivum_CS42_TGACv1_scaffold_513118_6BS